rnacentral:misc_RNA from 1 species
AAAGUCGUAACAAGGUCUCCGUUGGUGAACCAGCGGAGGGAUCAUUACCGAGUUUACAACUCCCAAACCCUAUGUGAACCUUACCAUUUGUUGCUUCGGCGGGAUCGUCCCGGGCGCGGCCGCGAGGCCAGCCCCGGAACCAGGCGCCCGCCGGAGGACCCCAAACUCUUCUGUCUUUUAGCGGUUUUAUCUGAGUGGCUAUAAGCAAAAAAAUGAAUCAAAACUUUCAACAACGGAUCUCUUGGUUCUG